CGGGCGGUGCGGCAUGCUAUACAUGCAGUAGAACGCUGAAGAGAGGAGCUUGCUCUUCUUGGAUGAGUUGCGAACGGGUGAGUAACGCGUAGGUAACCUGCCUUGUAGCGGGGGAUAACUAUUGGAAACGAUAGCUAAUACCGCAUAACAAUGGAUGACACAUGUCAUUUAUUUGAAAGGGGCAAUUGCUCCACUACAAGAUGGACCUGCGUUGUAUUAGCUAGUAGGUGAGGUAAUGGCUCACCUAGGCGACGAUACAUAGCCGACCUGAGAGGGUGAUCGGCCACACUGGGACUGAGACACGGCCCAGACUCCUACGGGAGGCAGCAGUAGGGAAUCUUCGGCAAUGGGGGCAACCCUGACCGAGCAACGCCGCGUGAGUGAAGAAGGUUUUCGGAUCGUAAAGCUCUGUUGUAAGUCAAGAACGGGUGUGAGAGUGGAAAGUUCACACUGUGACGGUAGCUUACCAGAAAGGGACGGCUAACUACGUGCCAGCAGCCGCGGUAAUACGUAGGUCCCGAGCGUUGUCCGGAUUUAUUGGGCGUAAAGCGAGCGCAGGCGGUUUGAUAAGUCUGAAGUUAAAGGCUGUGGCUCAACCAUAGUUCGCUUUGGAAACUGUCAAACUUGAGUGCAGAAGGGGAGAGUGGAAUUCCAUGUGUAGCGGUGAAAUGCGUAGAUAUAUGGAGGAACACCGGUGGCGAAAGCGGCUCUCUGGUCUGUAACUGACGCUGAGGCUCGAAAGCGUGGGGAGCGAACAGGAUUAGAUACCCUGGUAGUCCACGCCGUAAACGAUGAGUGCUAGGUGUUGGAUCCUUUCCGGGAUUCAGUGCCGCAGCUAACGCAUUAAGCACUCCGCCUGGGGAGUACGACCGCAAGGUUGAAACUCAAAGGAAUUGACGGGGGCCCGCACAAGCGGUGGAGCAUGUGGUUUAAUUCGAAGCAACGCGAAGAACCUUACCAGGUCUUGACAUCCCGAUGCUAUUUCUAGAGAUAGAAAGUUACUUCGGUACAUCGGUGACAGGUGGUGCAUGGUUGUCGUCAGCUCGUGUCGUGAGAUGUUGGGUUAAGUCCCGCAACGAGCGCAACCCCUAUUGUUAGUUGCCAUCAUUCAGUUGGGCACUCUAGCGAGACUGCCGGUAAUAAACCGGAGGAAGGUGGGGAUGACGUCAAAUCAUCAUGCCCCUUAUGACCUGGGCUACACACGUGCUACAAUGGUUGGUACAACGAGUUGCGAGUCGGUGACGGCGAGCUAAUCUCUUAAAGCCAAUCUCAGUUCGGAUUGUAGGCUGCAACUCGCCUACAUGAAGUCGGAAUCGCUAGUAAUCGCGGAUCAGCACGCCGCGGUGAAUACGUUCCCGGGCCUUGUACACACCGCCCGUCACACCACGAGAGUUUGUAACACCCGAAGUCGGUGAGGUAACCUUUGGAGCCAGCCGCCUAAGGUGACAGAUGAGUGG
rnacentral:rRNA from 1 species